GACGAACGCUGGCGGCGUGCUUAACACAUGCAAGUCGAACGGAAAGGCCCUGCUUUUGUGGGGUGCUCGAGUGGCGAACGGGUGAGUAACACGUGAGUAACCUGCCCUUGACUUUGGGAUAACUUCAGGAAACUGGGGCUAAUACCGGAUAGGAGCUCCUGCUGCAUGGUGGGGGUUGGAAAGUUUCGGCGGUUGGGGAUGGACUCGCGGCUUAUCAGCUUGUUGGGGGGGUAGUGGCUUACCAAGGCUUUGACGGGUAGCCGGCCUGAGAGGGUGACCGGCCACAAUGGGACUGAGAUACGGCCCAGACUCCUACGGGAGGCAACAGUGGGGAAUAUUGCACAAUGGGCGGAAGCCUGAUGCAGCGACGCCGCGUGCGGGAUGACGGCCUUCGGGUUAUAAACCGCUUUCGCCUGUGACGAAGCGAGAGUGACGGUAAUUGGUAAAGAAGCACCGGCUAACUACGUG
rnacentral:rRNA from 1 species